rnacentral:rRNA from 1 species
UGGGGAAUAUUGGACAAUGGGGGGAACCCUGAUCCAGCCAUGCCGCGUGUGUGAAGAAGGCCUUAUGUUUGUAAAGCACUUUAAGCGAGGAGGAGGGUACUGGUAUUAAUACUACCAGCUACUGGACGUUACUCGCAGAAUAAGUACCGGCUAACUCUGUGCCAGCAGCCGCGGUAAUACAGAGGGUGCGAGCGUUAAUCGGAUUUACUGGGCGUAAAGCGUGCGUAGGCGGCUAAUUGAGUCGGAUGUGAAAUCCCCGAGCUUAACUUGGGAAUUGCAUUCGAUACUGGUUAGCUAGAGUGUGGGAGAGGAUGGUAGAAUUCCAGGUGUAGCGGUGAAAUGCGUAGAGAUCUGGAGGAAUACCGAUGGCGAAGGCAGCCAUCUGGCCUAACACUGACGCUGAGGUACGAAAGCAUGGGGAGCAAACAGG